GAUGAACGCUGGCGGCGUGCCUAAUACAUGCAAGUCGAGCGAACGGACGAGAAGCUUGCUUCUCUGAUGUUAGCGGCGGACGGGUGAGUAACACGUGGAUAACCUACCUAUAAGACUGGGAUAACUUCGGGAAACCGGAGCUAAUACCGGAUAAUAUUUUGAACCGCAUGGUUCAAAAGUGAAAGACGGUCUUGCUGUCACUUAUAGAUGGAUCCGCACUGCAUUAGCUAGUUGGUAAGGUAACGGCUUACCAAGGCAACGAUGCAUAGCCGACCUGAGAGGGUGAUCGGCCACACUGGAACUGAGACACGGUCCAGACUCCUACGGGAGGCAGCAGUAGGAAAUCUUCCGCAAUGGGCGAAAGCCUGACGGAGCAACGCCGCGUGAGUGAUGAAGGUCUUCGGAUCGUAAAACUCUGUUAUUAGGGAAGAACAUAUGUGUAAGUAACUGUGCACAUCUUGACGGUACCUAAUCAGAAAGCCACGGCUAACUACGUG
rnacentral:rRNA from 1 species